rnacentral:lncRNA from 1 species
CUUUUCGUCUUUUUAAUGAUGCUUUUCUUUAGACAUAAACUUGGUACUUUUAUCUGAUUUGAGCUCGUUUCUGCAUGAACAGAAGAUUCCUUCAUAAUAGGGGCGGAGUCAACACUCGAUGAGGUAGCAGAACUUACAAGUUGGGUGUUGUCAUUGUUGCAGACAAUCGCCGCCCGCCAAGAAGCUUGAAGCCAGAUGCAUUAGGAAGGAGGAAAAAGAGUCUGAUGGACUUGGGCCAUUUUUAAAUUUUUUGUUGUUUUUCCAAAUAUUGGACCUUUAGCUUUGGGGUUUUUCUUUAAAUUAGGCCUAUUAAUUUAUCCACUGCUACUUUGUAUUGUACCCCUAUCUCUAUUCGCGCAAUUGCAUUUUGCAAAAAAUACGAAGGUGAAAGGCGCAAACCAAAAUCCAAACCCUAUAUCUCUCUCCCACAACUAAUGCGUUGCCCCGACGCCGUUAUUGAGCUAUCAACCUUGUGAUGUGAGUGAAUGGGUUUUUCCUUAAUCAGUCAUUUUAUAGAAACUCAUCUUAAUCUUUGCUAUUGCUAGUUUUAACAUUUGUACAGAUUCUAACUUCAAUUUACCCUUUUUUGUGGUUGAUGUUAGGACAAAUUGAGGACGGUGGUGCAUAUGUUCCGACCUAUCACCUUUGAGUAGUCGACGUCUAGCCUCCGCCACUACCUAUAGCUGCUGUGUGAACCUCUCCUUUUCUUUUCUGUUUUUUUUUUUAGUUAAUUUUUAAUGCCAUUUUCAUUGUCGAAUGAUUUCUAAUUUAUAUUUUAUGAAUUAUGACCGUGAGCCUGCUGCUUGCUGCUGAG